rnacentral:lncRNA from 1 species
GAAUUAAGAAAUCGGGGAUGAAAAAUCUACAAGUAUGGAAAAUAAUAAAUAAGUAUCAUUAAGUGUUCUAAAAUGUCAUGAAACAAUCUUGACAAAAAACAUGUUAUAAAACAACAGAUAUCUAUGCAUAUCAUGGAUCCAGAAGUAGCUAAUGUAGUUGUAAAGAAUGACAACUGAUACACGCGUGCAUAAGGUAAUAUUUGUGGGCAUCAGGGGAAAAGCCUGCCUUGCAAAUUAUGAAAAAGCUCCAUUUUCUACAACAUGUCCAGAUCUUUGGAAACUCACUGAUGAAUCCACCCAGCCUUCAGCCUUGGCUCGUUCAACGUACUGUGCAAACUUUUUCUCAGCAUCAGGAAAGUCCAAAGCUAAGUCGUCAAGUGAUUCUGCUAAUCUGCCAAAGCCUUUGGUCAUCUGAUUCAUCGUUAUGAGCCCGGUGCUAAAACACGGUCUGAGUAAAUCCCACAAUCUAUCAUUUUUCUUUUCUAUGAUUGCCACUAGUGAUUUCUAAUUUCUUAACAACCUCAUGGUUGAAAAAUGGGCAUAUUCAACUCCUUUACGAAAAAUGGCGGACCCUAGUAUGGGCUACGCAGCCCAGGCCACUAUGAAUUUUUGUUGAAAAAUUUUACUAAUAUUUAGCUACUGCUGAGUCUGAAGUAUUUUAGCCCGGACAGUUAUAACUUCUAAACUUGGACAGAUUUUUAUUUAAAAUAUUAUGUUUCAAAUUUUUUUGUUUUGUCUAAAAAUAAGGAUCAUAUACUUUUAUACAAAACAAAAAAAUUUCAAAAAUAUUAUAUAUAAGUAUGCCUAUCGAUCAAAUUGAAAUACUUGAAAAAAUCAAGUGUCAUCCUUUUUGAGAAAGAGGAGUACAUAUUACUGCAACAACCCAUGUAAUUCACCACUCGCCUUACUCUGCCCCACACAAACACACAUUUCACCCCUCUCUCCCCUCUCCGUCUUCGAUACUAUAUACAUUAUAUAUACUCUCGCAUCCGCUUUUGACACACGCCUUUUCUUAAAUUACACAAGGUGUGUUCCUCUUCCUACCAAUAUGUUCUUAGUCAGUUAUCAUUAUAUUAUGAGCUAAUGUAUAUAUCAAUUAUCAAGUGAGUUAUUGUACUAUAUAUGUAUGUGUUUAUAUAUGUAAAUGUAUUGUUUUUUUUUAAAGAUAAUGUAAAUGUAUUGUUAAUCAACUUUAUAUUAUUCGUAUAAUUAAUUUGUGUGCGAUUGCAGUUGUGUGUGUAAUCAUUUGUUAUAUUGUUAUUUGAUUUCUUCACCUGAUAGUCGUGUGUAUUUAUAGUUACGAGAAUAGAGUGAUCGCACUAUUAUAUAUGUUCCAAUGAGUGUAUAAUUAUUGUAAUUUGUGCAUGACUGCUUAAUUGUGUAGUUGUGACUUACGAGUGUAUUUGCGAUUGUGUGGAUUUGUUUAUUAUAUUUACUGUUUGUGUACGUCAAUGGAGUGAUUGCACUAUUUAUGUAUGUAUCUAUACAUAUGCUUUUUUUUUUGACAAAAUCUAUACAUAUGCUUUAAAUGUAUUGUUUAUCACUUUCUAGAUCAUGUAUAUGCUGUGAGAUAAUGCAUGCGAGUGUGUGUGUGUUUGUGAUACUGAUGAAUUGUUUUUGUGAAUUGAUAAUUAGAAAUGUUGGCAAUGGCAGGAGAAAAAAGCAAGGCUUGAUAAUAAGGUGGAAUGUGUCCAUUGUCCUAUUCAAUUUUACAACAAGAAAGAGUUUGAGCUCACAUUAUCGCAUUGUUCAUCAUAACAUCAUGUGUGGAUGUGGCAACUGGUUUGCGAACUUGGCUCAUAGGAGCUCUGAAUAUCUUGUGUUUACUUCUACUAUCAUGUAAACUUUCACAUUUAUACUCAUAUAAUCAUUCUCUAAUAUGCUCUCUAUUUCCACGUAACUUUACUCUGCUCUCAUGUAUAAAAAAUAUAUAAUAUCAUUUGUGAAUUGACAUUACUUUAAAAUUUUAAUACAUGCUCUUUGCCUAUAUAUUUAUCUAGUGUAAGUAUCCAACGACCUCUUUUCUCCUUUUCUUUUCUGUAAAUGCUGGUUAGUUGGUCAGCUACAGGGCGGAUCCUGUUUGGGGCCUCGGUUUACCCCUUAAAUUUUUAUCCCUAAUUUUAUAUAAUUACAUAAUGUCGUGCAAUGGUAAAAAAUUACAUAAUUCGAAUAUUAAAAUUUUGUUUUCUAUGUUAUCAUUUCGGUAUCCACCAGAAGAUGACUUAUUUAUGCUGUGCAACGGCAAAGAAUUACAUAAUAUGAAUAUUAAAUUUCUUUUAUGUUCAUUCCGAUUAGUCAUCGUUACAAAAUAUUAUAUAUGACCUCUCUUAUUUUUGGAGCCGGAUCCGCCAUUGCUUAGCCAUAUUUGAUUCUUCUUUAUUUGAUUGUUAACAAAAAUACAAAAAAUAUAGAGAAUUAAGAGGAUUUGAAUCUUUUGACUUAAAAAGAAUAAGUGAUUAACUUGACGGGAAAAUUUAUCUAGGAGCUUAAUUACUAUGUUGAUGGUUUUGAGACACUUAUAUAUCAACCUAUCUUCAUAUUAUAAGUAAAAGACUAUAUUGGUUUCAAACUUUCUUUAGAAUAUAAAAUGACCUUCCAAGAAAAAUGUUUACAAUUUCAAUAUAUAAAUAGAACCCACAACCUGUAAAAUGAUUCAAACUUUUUUUGUAUCCUGAAUUUAUCUCAAAAUGAUGACUGUGCUUAAUUUGUAAAGUGUUUUCCGAAUAAAUUCAAUUGAAUAUUAAAAAUUUUAUUUUCCACAUAUCAAAUUAUUUUUUCGUAUGACUCUUGAUUGCCUUAAAAAAUUUUGGUAAAAUAGUAGUGAUAAAUAUUCAAAUAAUUAUAGUGAAAAAUUAUAUGCUAAGGAAACUACAGUAAAGUGGGUAAAGGAGAGCUACCAACUUAUAUAUAGGUAUUUUUUCACAAUUGUUCAUAAAAAUCAGAAGCGAUUGAACAAUAAAAUUUUAAAUGAUUAAAAGUUGGUAAUAUAUAUUCUAUCUUCUGAAUUAAAUUUAUAGUAAACAAAAUAUUUUCCAAAAAUAAAUUUAGAUAAAAUAAUCAAGAUAUAACUAUAAAAUCCAUGCAAAGCUUUCAUUAAUUUCAGAUCAUACUACCAUUUAAUCUGCAUAGAAAUAAACGAAUUUUUUUUAUAACAUUGCUUAAAAUUUUCAUUCCAAUAAAAAUAAAAAAAGAUCCGAGCAUUCCAUAUUGCUCACUUUGAUUGAAAAUCCCUAACCGUAAAUUAAAAUAAUAUAUAAAAAUAUCAUUAGUCGGCAUCAUAUUAAUUUUGAAUUUUCAAAUAAAACUAAUAAUUAACUAAAAAUAAUAUAUUUAACUCUGAUUAAAAGAGUCUUUUUUUUUUUUUUACGAAAGCUGAAGUUUUAUUACCAAUUCAAAUCCGUCUUAAUACAAUGAUUGACUGAAAUCGGGAUAUCCAUAUUGAAACUACAAGCUGGGUAACUAUAUAUAUGAUUCGUUCGCUACAUGUUACAAAGACACUUUGUUUAAACGUUGAAGAUGAGGGAAAUCAUAUUUGUAGACCAUUUAACAUGAUACAAAGACACUUUGUUUAAACGUUGAAGCUGACUCCGACACCCCUCAAAAACUCAGAUUACAUGUUAUUUUUUAUUAGAUUAGAUUUUUACAAAAAAUUAACUUUUUGGGUCCAAACCUCUAUUUCGAUCCGCUGACUAUCAAACACUAUAUUAGCGGAUUUUAGUGGUCAACCUUCUAAAACACCCGAAACCUCUAAUUUUGCUCCAAACUUCUAACUUCCAAACCGGCUUAUAUCUGUGAAUAAUAUCGAUUUGACUAUUAAUAUCAAUAUAAAUCUUUAUUUAUUUGAAAUCUUAAACAUGAUAGUAAUUUUAUAGAGUUGUUUCAUAAAUUAAAUUAUUUGAGUUUAAAGAAAUUAAAAUAAAUAAUUUUAUUGAUGGUAUAGUUGUUGAUUUACGAAAUCCUAACUACGAUAGAAGUCUUUUUUUAAUAGUAUAACAUUGAAGUCUUUAAUUAUAAAAUCCUAAUUAAUAUCAAAGUCUAAUAAUUAUAAAAUCCUAAUCGAUAUUGAAGUUUUUAAUUAUAAAAUCCUAAUUAAUAUGAAAGUCUUUUCAUAAUAAUAUAAUAAAAUUAUAAAAUCCUAACCAAUACAAAUUUCUUUUGACAUUAGUUUAAUGAUUAUUGUUAUUAUUAAAUAAAAAAUUAUAUGAUUACAAAAUCCUAAUAAUUAUAGGAGUCGUCUUUAAUUAUAAUAUCAUAAUCAAUUCAUGAAUAUUAUAAAAUCCUCACAAAUAUAAGUCUUCUAAAGAUCAUACAAUACUUAGGUGUAUAAUAAUAAUAAUAAUUAAAUAUAAUAUAAGAUUACCAAAUUUUGAUACUUUUAAUAAUAAUAAUUUUUUUUUGCCGAAAAUAAUAAUAAUUAAAUAUAAUAUAAGAUGAUCAAAAUUUGGUAUUUUGGUAAUGAUGCUUCACCAAGAGGUGGUUUGGCUUGUUAACAAAUGGUAUCGAGAUUCGAGGAUACUCUACUACUUGGAUGUUUUGUGCAGGGCUCUUCAUGAGAAAGAGAAAAGGUUCCAAACGCGGAUUAACUUGUACUCAGUUCUUCCUCAUAGCUUUCAUUUGUAGCUAAGUAGCUUUGCUUUCUACAUCUUUCCUGGCUAUCUCUUCAAGUGUUAACUUCCUUUUCAUGGAUCUGCUGGGUCUUCCCGAAAUCUGUUCUAGCACAACAACUUGGUUCUGGACUCCACGGCCUAGGAAUUGGUGCCAUUGGCCUUGACUGGUCUUCCAUUUCUGCCUAUCUUCCCCUGUUCAUGUAUGUUGUCACAUCUAUAAGCUACUGGCUCGAUGUUUAUGAAGCGAAAAAAAUUCCCCAUAUUCUCUGAUGAUCUCUUUAUCACCAUUCACCAAUAUGUUUAUAAGUCAGCGAGCUAAUGUAUAUAUCAAUUAUCAAGUGAGUUACUAUAUAUGUAAAUAUAUUGUUAAUCAACUUUAUAUUAUUCGUGUAAAUUGUGUGCGAUUGCAGUUGUGUGUGUAAUCGUUUGUUAUAUUGUUAUUUGAUAUUUUCACCUGAUAGUCGUGUGUAUUUACAGCUAUGAGAAGAGAGUUAUCUCACUAUUAUAUAAUAGUAUUUAUACGUGCGGUGCAAGGCCUUUCUAAAUUUAAAUUAUGUACUAAAAAUAAUAUUUACAAUAAAUAUUGAAGAAUCGUAAUAUAGUGAUUUCAAAAAAUGGAAUAUUAAUUAAUAAGUAUAACUGCUUGCAAACUAAGUUGUGAAACACAAAUGAUUCUACGAAUUUGAUAUUGUUUAUGCACUUUGAACUUAUUUCCAUUAACUUCGUGUGGCUCCAUUAGUAACAACUGUGCAAAUACUUACUUCAAACUCCGUAACAAUUUUAGGUGAAUUAUCACCUUAAAUAGCAUAUUACCAUUUGUCAUCUCAUUGAUGCAUUCCAUCAAACAUUUUAUAAAUUUUGUAUCAAAAUCACGCCUGCAUGAAAUAAUAAUAAAAUAUAUAAUUUUAUUAGAACGAAAACAUAACAUUAGUUCCAAAAUCUUCUCAACAUCGCUUUCGGCAAUACCUCGACUUCUAUAUAUUAACACUCACAAAUUAAUAUCUAAAUAAUAUAUAAUUUAAUGAAUAAAAAGAUGACAUACGAUCAGUGCAACUCUACCAAAAUAAUAAAAGCAGUGAUGCGAAGAUUCCAAUGCAAACCCUUAUCAUUAAUGCAUUUCAUCAAACACCUCAGUGAAACAUUCCAUAAAUGAUUUACUGUUGUAAGUAUGACACUGUCAAUGAAUCAUGGUUGUCAUGUCGGUCGACUAGUCGCGACUAGUCGACGACUAGUCGACUAAGCGGUGAAUGGAUGUCGACUCAACAUGUCGACUAGGUGAAUGUCGAUAUCUCGGUCGCUUGGUCGACUAGUCAACGACUAGUCGACUAGUCGAGUUUGGGCCACCGACUAGUCGACUGUUUUUCUGCAAUUUGCAUUCUGCAUAAUUAAUUCUGCAUAAGUUUUGUUAUUUGUUUACUAUACUGAUACAUCACAUCAUUAUCACAUAAUUGAUAUUUAUCAAUUUUGAGCUUGAACUUGAUACAUAUUUUACGUGAUCAUGAGUACUUUGCUUUGUUAACUAUUUUCGAUUUUCCAUCAUUCUCUGUAAGUGUCCGGUUCUUAAUUCUUAGAAUCUGAAAUAAAAUAUUAUAAAAGAUACAUAAUACAAAUAUAUGUAUGUGUUUAUAUGUAUAUAAUAUAUUUUUAAUUUAUAAUAAAUAUAUAUAUUUUUUAGCGACUAGUCUACGAGUAGUCCAUGACUAGUCGACUAGUCGACUAGCGGGAGGUCUAUCGACUCGCCUCGACUCAUCGACGUGACAACCAUGCAAUGAAUAUUGCUAAUAUUAAAAAAUAUCACUACAUAUAAUUUUAUCAUAAGGAAAUAUAAUACUAUUAUCAUGUGCAUCCGUUGUCUGGGGAUUAAUUGGACCUCGAAGAACUUUUUGCUAGGAGCAAUUGCUCCAGUUCCUGUCUGGUUGGCUCAAAAAGCAUUUCCUAACCAAGAUUGGAUUAGGCUCGUUAACAUGCCAGUACUUAUAGGCGCAGCAGGACUGAUGCCAGCAGCUACCGCAAUUAACUACAGUGCAUGGAUUAUGGUUGGAUUUUUAUCUGGAUUUGUAGUGUGCAAAUAUAAACCUGAUUGGUGGCAACGGCACAAUUAUGUUCUUUCUGGUGCACUGGAUGCUAGACUGGCUUUUAUGGGAGUGUUACUGUAUCUAUGUUUAGGAUUGGAAAAUAUCGGUCUUAAUUGGUGGGGUAAUGAACUUGAUGGAUGUCCUUAUGCUUCCUGUCCGACAGCUCAAGGGAUUGUGGUCGAUGGCUGCCCUGUGGUUAUUAUUAGCCAGCAAAAGGAAUCAUGUGAUGCAUUUCUUUCAUUGGGGCUUCACUUUGUAUAGCUAGCUAGUACUGUCCUUUGUAUUCUUUUCUUGUUAUUGUUUCUGUCCAAAUAAUCGGUCAUUGCUUGAUUUCAACCUUGUCUGUCAAGUUUCCUUCCAGAGACUGUACUACCACAGAAGCCUGGACAAUAUGUCAACUUUGAAUCACACACGCCCCCACAAAACUUGAUAAAGAUACAGGCUUCUGCCCUCGACUAGAGAGUGCAAUUUAAUCAGAGCUGCCAGUAUGAAAGGUGUCAAUGUCCUCUCAACUGAACUGAACCAGUAUAUUCUUAAAGAAUGGGAACUCCGGUUUUCCGUCUUACUUAGCCUUUUAAUUCAGAUCUUCUUAAUUGUUACUGGAACCUUGAGAAGGUCAUCACAAAGAUGGAUUGACAUUCUUCUGUGGUUAGCCUAUUUGCUUGCAGAUAUUGUUGCUGUUUUUGGGCUUGGACUCAUUGUAAGCAAGCAAAGUUUGUAUGCCAUAUAUUGCAUCGAAGGUCAACACUAUGCUCAGCAACGUUCUGCUUGUUACCAGGACUGUGUUCAUGUCUACUGGGCUCCAUUUUUACUCGUACACCUUGGCGGUCCAGACUUCAUCACUUCUUUUUCACCCGAGGACAAUGCACUGUGGCGAAGACAUUUGUUUUAUCUGGCUUCACAGUGCAUUACUGUAGCUUAUUGUUUCUAUCAAUCUCACCAAUUCAGCCAGCAACUAAGGAUCCCAGCGAUGCUCAUGUUUUUGUGUGGACUUAUCAAGUGUUCUGAGCGUAUAUGUGCUCUGUACUAUGCAAGUGCAAACAGCUUCCGCAGGUCCCUACUUUCAUUACCUGAUUUGGAUGCUUACGAUCUUUUAAAAAAAGAUAUCACAGCUCGUCCCAGACUUCAGCAUCUAGAGAAUAUGAAUUCUUCUUUGUCCCAUUUAGAAGUGUUGCAGUAUGCUUUUGUAUACUUCAAUACAUUCAAAAGGCUUGUUGCUGAUCUCAUUUUGGGAAUCCAUGAUCGCAACCUGAGCCGAGGGUUCUUUCUUGUUACAUCAUACAAAGACGCUUUCAGGAUAGUUGAGGUAGAGUUGAAUUACAUUUAUGAUGUUCUUUUCACCAAAUUACCUGUGUUGCAUCACAAAUUCGGCUACUGCAGCAGAACUCUAUCCUUCGUUGCAGUUGUUGCUUCCUUUGCGCUCUUCCAUUUUGUGGUAAAAAAGGAAAAGAUUUUUGGGCUUGAUCAAGUGAUAACUUACGUUCUGCUUAUUGGUGCAAUUGCCUUGGAUGUAAUUCAGUUUUUUAUGCUACUCACCUGUAACUGCACAGUUGUUAAGAUCUUGCCUUUGUCUAAUGCAAACGCCAACAGCAAACCAUGGAAACUUAUGUUCGGUGAAUGGAUACUCUUUGUGAAUAGGACUAGGAAUACUUUCCUGGAUUGGUUGCUGGGUAUAUUUAGACGCAGAGAGUGUGACACAUUUACUAAUAGCAGGUGCGCUGAAUCUUUGUCAACAAUCAAUCUGAUUUCUUUUUGCUUAAACAGAGGUUCAAAAGGAAGAAGACAGUUUCAUAAUUAUUUUGGCCUUGCCAAUUUUCUGAAUGGCAUCUGGCAUGUAAAACCACGGCUACUUACCCAUGACAUGACUAGUUUUAUAUUCGACGAGCUGAAAGUAAAAUCAAUGGUAGCUAACAGUUUAGAAACAGCUGAACGAAUAUGUUCAUCCAAAGGAGAGUGGGUACUACAAGAAAUUGAAGGUCAUGAUGCUUUUCUUCCUUUUGUCAGUAAUUAUAACUACGCUGAAACUGUUCUUCUGUGGCACAUUUCUACUGAACUCUGUUGCAACGGCAGCCAAGAUCAAGUCACUUAUUAUGCACAACGCGACAUUGCAAAGAACUUAUCAGACUACAUGCUAUAUCUGUUGGUUAUGAAGCCUGAUAUGGUGUCCUCAGUUUCUAGUGCUGGGAAUAAAAUGUUCCUAGAUACUUGCAUUGAGGUUGGCAAAUUAUUUGACAUCAAAUUACCCGAACUAAAGAAGAGAAUGAGCGGUUUCUUUGGCAGAGAGAGCAAGAAAGAGAAGGAGGCUUUACACAUUAAGGCCUGUGAAACAAUUUUUUGCAUCAAUAGAGAUGUUAAGCCGGUUCUCUUACAAAAGGAGGAUCGAUAUAAAUUGUUAUUGUUUGAUGCAUCAGUUCUAGCCAAAGAGCUGAAACUGUUACCUUUGGAGCAAAAAUGGUUAACAAUAAGCAAAUUGUGGGUAGAACUGCUAUCAUAUGCGGCAACUCAUAUCAGGUCAAGUGCUCAUGUUCAGAACUUAAGUAAAGGCGGUGAGCUAAUAACUGUUGUUUGGUUACUGAUGGCUCAUUUCGGAUUGGGAGAUCAGUUUGAGAUCAGCUGUGUUGAUAUCUGAUUCCGAAGAAGUUAGUUAUUUAAUUAUAUACUAUCAAAUAAUAUCAUGUGUGGUUUCUUGUUUGUGAAUGUAAUAAUAUGUUCUAUAUAUGUCUUGUGUUAAGCAACUACCAUUAAUUUUUUAAUAAAGGGUAUAGAUUAGCCAAGUCCAUUAAUUUUUUAACAUCAUACAAAGACACUUUCAGACUAGUUGAGGUAGAGUUGAAUUACAUUCAUGAUACUCUUUUCACUAAAUUACCUGUGUUGCACCACAAAUUCGGCUACUGCAGCACAACUCUGUACUUCAUUUCAAUUGUUAAUUCAUUUGCGCUCUUCCAUUUUGCGGUAAAUAAGGAACACUUUGGCUUGAUAAAGUGAUAACUGACACUACAUUUGGGCUUGAUAAAGUGAUAACUUACCAAUUCGGCUACUGCAGCAGAACUCUGUCCUUUUGUUGCUAAUUUUAACUACGAUAAUAUCAUUCUUUUAUGGCACGUCGCUACUGAACUCUGCUACAACGUCGACAGUCAAGAUCCACACAGCUUAAAACAGACUGCCAAGCAGCUAUCAUACUACAUGCUAUAUCUUUUGGUCAUGAAGCCUGAUAUGAUGUCCGUUGUUUCUCGAGUCAGGGACAUAUUGUUCCUACUGCUCAUGCUCAGCGACUAAACAGAGGCAGAGAACUAAUUACUGUUGUUUGGUUACUGAUGGCUCAUUUUGGCUUGGGAGAUGAGUAUGAAAUUCUGACAUAUCUCCAAAAGAAUGAAUAGCUGAUUGUUGAAGAAGUUGGUUCUCUUAUAUCAAACAACAGUAUGUGUUGUUUCUUAUUUGUGCAUGUAAUGAUAUGUUCUAUGUAUGCUUUGUUUAAAUUUUCCUUGGCUGGCCUUCCACCAAGGUUUGCUGUGUAACAAGUUUCGUGCUUUGGUCUAAAACUACAGAAAUGUCUCUCUAAUUUUGAAUGAAGAAAUCGGGAACGAAACUUCUACAAGUAUGAAAAACAAUAAAUAAGUAUCAUUAAGUGUUCUAAAAUGUUAUGAAACAAUCUUGACAAAAAACAUACUAUAAAACAACAGCUAUCUACGCAUAUCAUGGAUCGAGAUGUAGCUAAUGUAGUUGUAAAGAAUGACAACUGAUACACGCGUGCAUAAGGUAAUAUUUGUGGAGAGCGCACAUUAGGGGAAAAGCCUGCCUUGCAAAUUAUGAAAAAGCUCCAUUUUCUACAACAUGUCCAGAUCUUUGGAAACUCACUGAUGAAUCCAACCAGCCUUC